ensembl:snRNA U6 U6 spliceosomal RNA
UGUUCGCUUUGGCAACACUAUACUAAAAUUGUAACGAUACAGAGAAGAUUAGCAUGGCCCAAGGAUGACACGCAAAUUCGUGAAGCAUUUCAUAUUUUU